rnacentral:lncRNA from 1 species
AAACUAUUAAUUAGAAUUUAAGAAUAUAAGAAACUAAAAAACUUAAAUAUAUUAACAUUUUAAAACUAAGAAAUCUAGUUAUUUUAUAUUUCUAAAUUUUAAACUUCAUAAAUUAUAUAUAUUUAUUGAGAUCUUCGCUUAUUAUAUAUUACAAAUUUAAAAAUUUCAUAAUUUACAAGUUACUAAUUGUUUAACUUAUUUAUAUUACAAAUUUUUUAAACUUCAUAAACUACACAUUACUAAGUGAUUACUUAUUUAUAUUACAAUUUUAAAAAAACUUCAUAAACGACAAACUUACU